CAGAGAAUAGUUUAAUAAAAAUAGUAAUUUUGGAGAUUAUUGAUAGGAGUCUAAGUUUCUUUUCUCUGA
rnacentral:tRNA from 1 species